UCAAGGGGUCCCUGGUUCUGUUUUCUUGUUAAUGCUGUAGUUAUUGUUGUUUGUUUGCCUGGUUAUACUAGUAAAGAACUGUUAUUCCUACCCCCAAAUCUCUGCCUAAAGGCCCCUUGAUUUCAAAAUUAUAAUAAUUCGGAGGGAGGGGGUCUACAUUCUUUCAUCCCACGGGAGGCUCCUGCUCUCCCUAGCAGACACCUGUCUUCUAGAACCAAGACAGAGUCCUGGGAUUCUCCUGAGGCACCCAAGCAGUUGAUGAGGUUGGGUGUUGAAAAGGUCCCAAUUGAAUGGCUGCUCUUAUGAGCAGAGUCUCACCCAUGGUAAGGAGAAGCAGUGAAGGACACAACUCCGCAGUGUUGAAUCCUCCAGGCAGUAGUGAUGCGUGGAAUAAAAGGAACCCUAUAACUCGCAGAGUAGUUAUAAGAGCGGGUAUGAAUUUAUUCAGCACUGCGGUGCAUGGGGGAUAUCUCCUCCAAGAAGCAUGCACCCUUUUUUGAUUGGGUUUCCCCUUUUUAUCCUUUACAGACCAGGUUUACACAAUACUCCUAAUACAUAUUAAUUUUCUAACCCCGCCUGUCUUCAUUUCAUAUUACAAUUAGCCCCGUGCCCCUUUCAGUCCUUUGGUCGCCUUUUUAGGAACUUUAAAUCCGUUUCUGUUUCUUCCGGCUUAGGGUUUGAGGAAUCUCCUUUAUCCUGUGGUGCCUUUGUCUUUGCAUCUUGCUUGUGUAUUCCAGCUCCUUAUCUCAUCUUGCAGUCUGGCUAUUUUUCCUGUUCUUGUGGAUUAGGGUGUCAGGGUCUGGUUUUGUAAGACACCCCUUUUAGUUAAGCAUUUUUCUUUGUUUCAGUAGCAGUCCGGCACCAAAACUAUGACCACCUGACCUCUGAUCCUAAGAGCAUGAGUGUGAGAGAGGGCUGAGCCCAGGCCCUGAUAUGCAGCUAAGUCUUGGUAUAUCUGUGCUUUGCAAGAGAAAAUUCCCCCCCAGCUACCAAGCUCACUCUCCAGCUAAGAGACUGCUGCCAACUACACCCCUUGCCCCUUCCUCCUCAUCUUGGCCACAUCUUUUCUCUGUCUUAAGUAUUGUUUUAAGUAUUGUCAUUCUCAUCUCUUAGGCAACAAAUGGGAGAAAGAUUCCCUGAGAGAAAGAAAAAAAAAUCUUUUUUUCAAAAAAAAAAAAACAACAAACCUAACUUCCAACAAGUGUGCUGGGCUUGUUGGUAGGUGGCAGUGUUCUAAGAGGUGUUUGUGAGCUCUUAUUGGUUGGGAAUCAACAGUCUUAGGUAAGAAGGAAGUCAUCUUGGUUAAAAAGUGUGCAGCAAGCAUGUAGAGGAGGUAGCUAAGAGGUGGUGCAUAUUGUCAUUUGUUUGAACUGAAGUGAUGUGGUUUACACAUGCUGUUUUGUGGGGCUAUAUUUGCUGUAGCCCAAAAAUAUUUGUAUUGUUAUUUUGUUUGUUUUCUAGAAGCUUCCUCUGCUUUGGAAUCCACUUCAGGGUGACCAGCUUCUUCAAAAGGAUAGCUUUUUGCUGUUAGUUCAUUUGAGCGAAAAUUCUUAAUGCACGGGCGAAUAAUUUGUGAAGUUUUCCAGUGCAGCUAUGAAAAAGGAUUGUACUUUUCACAUGCUGAGGAAGUUAGUGAGUGGAGUCUUGGCUGACCGGCAGGAGUUUCGCUAACAACACUGAAAUAUGCACAUCUCAGAAAGAGAGUUCCUGAGUCUGUGAGCAUGUGAGCUUCAGAGGAGGAGGAGGCAACUGUUUACAACUGUGCCUUAGCUGACUGCUUCUGGAAUAACUUGUGUUCUGCAGUCAUAUACACUGAACAUGUUAGAAAUGCUCCUCACUGGUGAUUUUUGUGGAGAGCUAUGGUACCAUGUUGCAAUAAGCCAUAGUUACUAGUAUAACUUGUAAAUGCAUUGCUCUUUUGCAUUAUCUGGUUCUGAAGCCUUCAUGCUGACACAAAAAUGACUGUUUAUUAAUAAAGUAUUUAUAAUUUGGUUGGUAUAAGAUGCAGAAAGAGACAGACUUACAUUAUUCUUUUCCAUGGAAAUUAGAAUUUCUUUGAAAAUUGAUACUAUUGUUGGACAGAAAAAAGAAGGAUACCUUAGAUAACAAAAUUUUAAUUGCUUGUUCCCAUUACUUCAGUUGCAUGUAUUGUCCUAAAUGACCUCACAUUUAUACAUCUGGGCUGUGAAACGUUUCUUUUAAAUUUUUAUUUAUUUAUUUAAUCUCUUACAUUUUAACCAGGGAAAGAUUUUUUUUUUUUUUUUUAAAUUUUCACCAUGCAUACUUAAAUGGAUGAGGAAAUGUGCUGUAUUCUUACUAGUACUUGUUGGACUGCUACUUGUUGUUGCAUCUGCUUGAUUACUUGUUGCUGUGGCAUUUUGGUUUCUUCAGCACUGAGCUCCUUGGGAUACUCCCUUACAAGGAGUCUCCUUUAUCUCAGUUCUGUUUCAGGAAAUAUUCUCCAAAGGCUCAUUUGCUUCUUGUUUCUUGUGCGUUUAUUCAUAUAUAAUUAAAAGACUUGGGAGGUCUUCCCCAGACCUUUUUGCACAAGUCCAACUCAC